CGCCUCCUGCCCUAUUUAUAGGAGGUCAUGCCUGCACAAUGACCCAAGGGUUAAAUUGCCGCGGUACCCUGACCGUGCUAAGGUAGCGUAAUCACUAGCCUGUUAAUUGCUGGCCCGUAUGAAUGGCUCGACGCUGGUGGCGCUGUCUCUGCUGUGCUCUAUUGAACUUAACUUCUUGGUGAAAAGGCCAAGAUAAAACUAAAAGACGACAAGACCCUGUCGAACUUCAGGCUAACCUAUUAAGGCUUUGCCCCAAAUUAUAGGAGAACCUUUGGUUGGGAGAACCGGGGACCAAAAAAAACGUCCACCCCCACAACAGACUAAGCUUAAGGGAAAGUAAAAUUGCCCCACACCAAAAAAGCCUGACAAGGCCCAAGUAACUAUGUAUGAUCCAAGGAGCCAAGCCUUGAUCAUGGGAAAAGUUACCGCAGGGAUAACAGCGUAAUCCCCCCGGCGAGACCACAUUAAGGGGGGGGUUUGCGACCUCGAUGUUGGCUUGGGGCAUCCCAGAGGUGCAGGAGCUUCUAACGGUUGGUCUGUUCGACCACUAACGCCCCACAU
rnacentral:rRNA from 1 species